GGGGAUUUAGCUCAGUGGUAGAGCACUUGCCUAGCAAGCGCAAGGCCCUGGGUUCGGACCCCAGCUCCG
rnacentral:tRNA from 1 species